rnacentral:rRNA from 3 species
UAUCCUGUCUGAAUAUGGGGGGACCAUCCUCCAAGGCUAAAUACUCCUGACUGACCGAUAGUGAACCAGUACCGUGAGGGAAAGGCGAAAAGAACCCCGGCGAGGGGAGUGAAAAAGAACCUGAAACCGUGUACGUACAAGCAGUGGGAGCCCCACCACCAAAGCAUUUGCUGUACCGCGUUGACGGAGCGAAGCGACGUCAAACCGAUAAAACAGCAGUGUAAAGUGAGCCGCAGGGCGCUUUGCGCGACAGCGCAAAGGCAGGCGGUUUCGCGUAGCGAAAGCGAAUGCUUUGGGGUGGGGUGACUGCGUACCUUUUGUAUAAUGGGUCAGCGACUUAUAUUCUGUAGCAAGGUUAACCGAAUAGGGGAGCCGGAGGGAAACCGAGUCUUAAUUGGGCGUUAAGUUGCAGGGUAUAGACCCGAAACCCGGUGAUCUAGCCAUGGGCAGGUUGAAGGUUGGGUAACACUAACUGGAGGACCGAACCGACUAAUGUUGAAAAAUUAGCGGAUGACCUGUGGCUGGGGGUGAAAGGCCAAUCAAACCGGGAGAUAGCUGGUUCUCCCCGAAAGCUAUUUAGGUAGCGCCUCGUGAAUUCAUCUCCGGGGGUAGAGCACUGUUUCGGCUAGGGGGCCAUCCCGGCUUACCAACCCGAUGCAAACUGCGAAUACCGGAGAAUGUUAUCACGGGAGACACACGGCGGGUGCUAACGUCCGUCGUGAAGAGGGAAACAACCCAGACCGCCAGCUAAGGUCCCAAAGUCAUGGUUAAGUGGGAAACGAUGUGGGAAGGCCCAGACAGCCAGGAUGUUGGCUUAGAAGCAGCCAUCAUUUAAAGAAAGCGUAAUAGCUCACUGGUCGAGUCGGCCUGCGCGGAAGAUGUAACGGGGCUAAACCAUGCACCGAAGCUGCGGCAGCGACACUGUGUGUUGUUGGGUAGGGGAGCGUUCUGUAAGCCUGUGAAGGUGUGUCGUGAGGCAUGCUGGAGGUAUCAGAAGUGCGAAUGCUGACAUAAGUAACGAUAAAGCGGGUGAAAAGCCCGCUCGCCGGAAGACCAAGGGUUCCUGUCCAACGUUAAUCGGGGCAGGGUGAGUCGACCCCUAAGGCGAGGCCGAAAGGCGUAGUCGAUGGGAAACGGGUUAAUAUUCCCGUACUUGGUGUUACUGCGAAGGGGGGACGGAGAAGGCUAUGUUGGCCGGGCGACGGUUGUCCCGGUUUAAGCGUGUAGGUGUGUGUUCCAGGUAAAUCCGGUUCACUUUAACACUGAGGCGUGACGACGAGGCACUACGGUGCUGAAGCAACAAAUGCCCUGCUUCCAGGAAAAGCCUCUAAGCAUCAGGUAACAUCAAAUCGUACCCCAAACCGACACAGGUGGUCAGGUAGAGAAUACCAAGGCGCUUGAGAGAACUCGGGUGAAGGAACUAGGCAAAAUGGUGCCGUAACUUCGGGAGAAGGCACGCUGACACGUAGGUGAAGUGAUUUACUCAUGGAGCUGAAGUCAGUCGAAGAUACCAGCUGGCUGCAACUGUUUAUUAAAAACACAGCACUGUGCAAACACGAAAGUGGACGUAUACGGUGUGACGCCUGCCCGGUGCCGGAAGGUUAAUUGAUGGGGUCAGCGCAAGCGAAGCUCCUGAUCGAAGCCCCGGUAAACGGCGGCCGUAACUAUAACGGUCCUAAGGUAGCGAAAUUCCUUGUCGGGUAAGUUCCGACCUGCACGAAUGGCGUAAUGAUGGCCAGGCUGUCUCCACCCGAGACUCAGUGAAAUUGAACUCGCUGUGAAGAUGCAGUGUACCCGCGGCAAGACGGAAAGACCCCGUGAACCUUUACUAUAGCUUGACACUGAACAUUGAGCCUUGAUGUGUAGGAUAGGUGGGAGGCUUUGAAGUGUGGACGCCAGUCUGCAUGGAGCCGACCUUGAAAUACCACCCUUUAAUGUUUGAUGUUCUAACGUGGACCCGUUACCCGGGUUGCGGACAGUGUCUGGUGGGUAGUUUGACUGGGGCGGUCUCCUCC